GGUUUUAUGGUGUAACGGUUAGCACUCCAGACUCUGAAUCUGUCCACCUGGGUUCAAAUCCCGGUAAAACCU
rnacentral:tRNA from 1 species